rnacentral:rRNA from 1 species
CCCUUAGACGUUCUGGGCCGCACGCGCGCUACACUGACGAAGGCAACGAGCUUUCCUUUACCGAAGGGUACGGGUAAUCUUUUGAAACUUCGUCGUGCUGGGGAUAGAUCCUUGCAAUUAUUGAUCUUAAACGAGGAAUUCCUAGUAAGCGCAAGUCAUCAACUUGCGUUGAUUACGUCCCUGCCCUUUGUACACACCGCCCGUCGCUACUACCGAUUGAAUGGUUUAGUGAGGCCUUCGGAUCCGCGACUCGUUUUGUGGAGAAGUUGGACAAACUCAGUCAUUUAGAGGAAGUAAAAGUCGUAACA